rnacentral:rRNA from 1 species
AUUGAACGCUGGCGGCAUGCCUUACACAUGCAAGUCGAACGGCAGCACGGGAGCAAUCCUGGUGGCGAGUGGCGAACGGGUGAGUAAUAUAUCGGAACGUGCCCAGUAGUGGGGGAUAGCCCGGCGAAAGCCGGAUUAAUACCGCAUACGACCUGAGGGUGAAAGCGGGGGAUCGCAAGACCUCGCGCUAUUGGAGCGGCCGAUAUCAGAUUAGCUUGUUGGUGGGUAAAAGCCUACCAAGGCGACGAUCUGUAGCUGGUCUGAGAGGACGACCAGCCCAACUGGGACUGAGACACGGCCCAGACUACUACGGGAGGCAGCAGUGGGGAAUUUUGGACAAUGGGCGCAAGCCUGAUCCAGCCAUGCCGCGUGCGGGAAGAAGGCCUUCGGGUUGUAAACCGCUUUUGUCAGGGAAGAAACGGCUCUUGAUAAUACCGAGAGCUAAUGACGGUACCUGAAGAAUAAGCACCGGCUAACUACGUGCCAGCAGCCGCCGUAA